rnacentral:lncRNA from 1 species
CUAUAAGUUAAAUAUAUUCAUUUAGGUGGUUGUAUAAUUUCAUAAAUCCCUUUUACAAUAUUUGUUUUGUAGAUACAUAUUAAAUGACAAUGAUUACAGACUACAGUAUCCUUACCAUUCUCAUACUACUAAUUCUUAGUAGUAAGAUGUGGCCUUGUAAUAGAGAUGAGCUCUUGUGAGGUUUUAAUAACACCACAAAAAUAAGGCCUAUAUUAACUUUUUAUUGCAUGAAAUGCAUGAAAUGCAAUAAAAACCUUAUUGGACUGAUUUGAUAUCUAAAUGUUCCAAGGCUGAUCACUUCCUUUUUAGCUUAUCACUUGGCGUCCGGCGACCGUCGUCGUCGUCGUUAACGUUUUUACAUUUUGAACUUCUUCUAGAGAACCACUGAAUGGAAUAAAACCAAACAUGGCAUGAAUGUUCCUUAUGAGGUGCUGACCAAGUGUUGUUACUUUGUAGCCGAUCCAUUAUACAAGAUGGCCGCCAGCGGUGGACUUAGUUUAACAUAGGACCCUAUGGGAAAUGCAUACAAAUGACUUCUCUUAGAGAACCAGUGAAUGGAAUGAAACCAAACAUAGCAUGAAUGUUCCUUAUGAUGUGCUGGCCAAGUGAUGUUACUUUGUAACCAAUCCAUCACCCAAGAUGGCCGCCAGCGGGGAACUUAGUUUAACAUAGGACCCUUGAGAUAUUCAUACAAAUGACUUCUUUUAGAGAACCACUGAAU